UUCCAGACUCCUACGGGAGGCAGCAGUGGGGAAUAUUGCACAAUGGGGGGAACCCUGAUGCAGCAACGCCGCGUGAGUGAAGAAGUAUUUCGGUAUGUAAAGCUCUAUCAGCAGGGAAGAAGAUGACGGUACCUGAUUAAGAAGCCCCGGCUAACUACGUGCCAGCAGCCGCGGUAAUACGUAGGGGGCAAGCGUUAUCCGGAUUUACUGGGUGUAAAGGGAGCGCAGACGGCAGUGCAAGUCUGGAGUGAAAGCCCGGGGCCCAACCCCAGAACUGCUCUGGAAACUGUGCGGCUAGAGUACUGGAGGGGCAGGCGGAAUUCCUAGUGUAGCGGUGAAAUGCGUAGAUAUUAGGAGGAACACCAGUGGCGAAGGCGGCUUACUGGACUGUAACUGACGUUGAGGCUCGAAAGCGUGGGGAGCAAACAGGAUUAGAUACCCGUGUAC
rnacentral:rRNA from 1 species